UCCCAAAACAAACCACAAACUGCGUUGGUAGAGCAUGAGUCUCUUACUCUCAGGAUUGUGGGUUCAAGCCCCACAUUGGGAA